UACAGAGACUGCAAGCGUUAUUCGGAUUCACUGGGCGUAAAGGGUGCGCAGGCGGCCGGGUGUGUCAGAUGUGAAAUCCCGAGGCUCAACCUCGGAACUGCGUCUGAAACUACUCGGCUAGAGUACUGGAGAGGGUAACGGAAUUCACGGUGUAGCAGUGAAAUGCGUAGAUAUCGUGAGGAAUACCAGAGGCGAAGGCGGCUUGCUGGGGUGGAAUUGACGCUCAGACACGAAAGCAUGGGGAGCGAACGGG
rnacentral:rRNA from 1 species